UACGUGACCAAUGCUCUCGAUCUCACGCCUGUUCUCGUCUCAUCUCUGAAGCUAAGUAGGGCUGGGGCUGGUUAGUACUUGGAUGGGAGACCACUGGGAAUAUCGAGUGCCACAGUGG
rnacentral:rRNA from 1 species